rnacentral:rRNA from 1 species
CCUAGUUGAUCCUGCCAGUAGUCAUAUGCUUGUCUCAAAGACUAAGCCAUGCAUGUGUAAGUAUGAACUAAUUCAGACUGUGAAACUACGAAUGGCUCAUUAAAUCAGUUAUAGUUUGUUUGAUGGUAUCUGCUACUCGGAUAACCGUAGUAAUUCUAGAACUAAUACGUGCAACAAACCCCGACUUUUGGAAGGGAUGCCUUUACUAGAUAAAAGGUCGACACGGGCUUUGCCCUUUGCUCUGAUGAUUCAAGAUAACUAGACAGAUUGCAUGGCCAUCGUGCUGGCGACACAUCAUUCAAAUUUCUUCCCUAACAACUUUUGAUUGUAGGAUAGAGGCAUACAAUGGUGGUGACGGUUAACGGAGAAUUAGGGUUCGAUUCCGGAGAGGGAGCCUGAGAAACGGCUACCACAUCCAAGUAAGGCAGCAGGUGCGCAAAUUACCCAAUCUUGACACGGGGAGGUAGUGACAAUAAAUAACAAUAUCGGGCUCUUAGGAGUCUGGUAAUUGGAAUGAGUACAAUCUAAAUCCCUUAAUGAGGAUCCAUUGGAGGGCAAGUCUAGUGCCAGCAGCCACGGUAAUUCCAGCUCCAAUAAUGUAUAUUUAAGUUGUUGCAGUUAAAAAACUCGUCGUUGGAUCUUGGGUUGGGCACAGUGGUCCGCCCCUGGUGUGCACCGGUCUGCUGGUCCCUUCUACCGGCGAUGCGCUCUUGGCCUUAACUGGCCAGGUCGUGCCUCUGGUGCUAUUACUUUGAAGAAAUUAAAGUGCUCAAAGCAAACCUAUGCUCUGUAUACAAUAGCAUGGGAUAACAUCAUAGGAUAUCGGUCCUAUUGUGUUGGCCUUCGGGAUCAGAGUAAUGAUUAACAGGAACAGUCGGGGGCAUUCAUAUUUCAUAGUCAGAGGUGAAAUUCUUGGAUUUAUGAAAGACGAACAACUGCGAAAGCAUUUGCCUAGGAUGUUUUCAUUAAUCAAGAACGAAAGUUGGGGGCUCGAAGACGAUCAGAUACCGUCCCAGUCUCAACCAUAAAUGAUGCCGACCAGGGAUCCGCGAAUGUUGCUUUAAGGACUCCACCGGCACCAUAUGAGAAAUCAAAGUCUUUGGGUUCCGGGGGGAGUAUGGUCGCAAGGCUGAAACUUAAAGGAAUUGACAGAAGGGCACCACCAGGAGUGGAGCUUGCGGCUCAAUUUGACUCAACACGGGGAAACUUACCAGGUCCAUACAUAGUAAGGAUUGACAGACUGAGAGCUCUUUCUUGAUUCUAUGGGUGGUGGUGCAUGGUCGUUCCUAGUUGGUGGAGCGAUUUGUCUGGUUAAUUUCGUUAACGAACGAGACCUCAGCCUACUAACUAGUUAUGCGGAGGUGACCUUCCGCAGCCAGCUUCUUAGAGGGACUAUGGCCGCUUAGGAUAAGGAAGUUUGAGGUAAUAACAGGUCUGUGAUGCCCUUUGAUGUUCUGGGCCGCACGCGCGCUACAUUGAUGUAUUCAACGAGUUUUUAGCCUUGGCCGACAGGGCCCGGGUAAUCUUUGAAAUUUCAUCGUGAUGGGGAUAGAUCAUUGCAAUUGUUGGUCUUCAAUGAGGAAUUCCUAGUAAGCACGAGUCAUCAGCUUGCAUUGACUACGUCCCUGCCCUUUGUACACACCGCCUGUCGCUCCUACCGAUUGAAUGGUCCGGUGAAGUGUUUGGAUCGAGGAGAUGUGCGUGGUUCACUACCGGCAAUGUCGCGAGAAGUCCACUGAACCUUAUCUUUUAGAGGAAUGAGAAGUCGUAACAAGGUUUUCGUAGGUGAACCUGUGGAAG